rnacentral:lncRNA from 1 species
UAUGUUAAAAAGACAUAGAAUGAAGAACAAACGGAGAAUGAGAUUUGAUCUUUUAGAUUAGCAUUUUUUUAAAGGACUAAACUUACGUACAAUUCGUUAUAUGCUGUUAGAACUAUUUUCCAUUGAUGAUAUAACAUGUGGAGUUAAUCUCCCAUUCUUGGAAAAAUAAAUGUACGACACAGUCAUGUUUUGGUAGAGG